GUCCAUGCCCUAAACGAUGAGGACUAGGUAUCGGUAAUUUAUUAUCGGUGCCGCAGCUAACGCAUUAAGUCCUCCACCUGGGGAAUACGAUCGCAAGAUUGAAACUCAAAGGAAUUGACGGGGCCCGCACAAGCAGUGGAGCAUGUGGUUUAAUUCGACGCAACGCGAAGAACCUUACCUGGGCUCGAAAUGCUAGUGACAUUCCAUGAAAGUGGACUUCCCGCAAGGGACGCUAGUAUAGGUGCUGCAUGGCUGUCGU
rnacentral:rRNA from 1 species